rnacentral:rRNA from 1 species
UGGGGAAUAUUGCACAAUGGGCGAAAGCCUGAUGCAGCAACGCCGCGUGAGUGAUGAAGGCCUCCGGGUUGUAAAGCUCUGUCUUCUGGGACGAUAAUGACGGUACCAGAGGAGGAAGCCACGGCUAACUACGUGCCAGCAGCCGCGGUAAUACGUAGGUGGCAAGCGUUGUCCGGAUUUACUGGGCGUAAAGGAUGCGUAGGCGGAUACUUAAGUCAGAUGUGAAAAUCCCGGGCUUAACUUGGGAACUGCAUUUGAAACUGGGUAUCUAGAGUGCGGGAGAGGAAAGUGGAAUUCCUAGUGUAGCGGUGAAAUGCGUAGAGAUUAGGAAGAACACCAGUGGCGAAGGCGACUUUCUGGACCGUAACUGACGCUGAGGCAUGAAAGCGUGAGGAGCAAAC